ACAAGAUGCCAUCCCUGUUGAGGACAUAUGCUUCAGCUUCAAUUUUCUCGGCUUAGACAAUGUUUAUUUUUUAAAUUAUUUCGCCAAUGAACUCAUAUAGUCAUAUGAUGGGUCGUAUUUUAAGACAAGAUCCCUUGCCCUGUUGAGGACAUAUACCUCAGCUUCGAUUUUCUCGGCUUAGACAAUGUUUAUUUUUAAAAUUACUUCGCCAAUGAACUCAUAUGAUCAUGAUGGGUCGUAUUUUAAGCACGUUAAAACAUGAACAGCUCAACAGCCGAUGUUUAUCUGAUAUGCAAACUCUCGCCAUUGUCCCCAAUUUUAAUAAUAUAUUCUAUUGUGACUUGCUUGAACUAAUUAUAGCUCAACUUACAUUUCUUUGGCGGAACUCAUUUUGUUUCCGGUUUGUUCCUAGCAACAUCAAAUGUUCCUAGUAACAGUCAACCAGCAUCAGUGGAUAAUAAUCCGGCCGUUUCACUCCCCUCUUUAUUUUUUAUUUUUUCUCGUUCCCCUCCUGCCUUAUUUUAAAUUUCGGAUCUUUCUCGGUCACCCUUCGGAGUAUCAU